rnacentral:sRNA from 1 species
AAAAGAAGAAGAAAAACUAAA